AUUGAACGCUGGCGGCAGGCUUAACACAUGCAAGUCGAGCGGAGAGAGGUGGCUUGCUACUGAUCUUAGCGGCGGACGGGUGAGUAAUGCUUAGGAAUCUGCCUAUUAGUGGGGGACAACAUUUCGAAAGGAAUGCUAAUACCGCAUACGUCCUACGGGAGAAAGCAGGGGAUCUUCGGACCUUGCGCUGAUAGAUGAGCCUAAGUCGGAUUAGCUAGUUGGUGGGGUAAAGGCCUACCAAGGCGACGAUCUGUAGCGGGUCUGAGAGGAUGAUCCGCCACACUGGGACUGGGACACGGCCCAGACUCCUACGGGAGGCGGCAGUGGGGAAUAUUGGACAAUGGGCGCAAGCCUGAUCCAGCCAUGCCGCGUGUGUGAAGAAGGCCUUAUGGUUGUAAAGCACUUUAAGCGAGGAGGAGGCUACUUUAGUUAAUACCUAGAGAUAGUGGACGUUACUCGCAGAAUAAGCACCGGCUAACUCUGUGCCAGCCGCCGCAGUAACAC
rnacentral:rRNA from 1 species